GACGAACGCUGGCGGCGUGCCUAAUACAUGCAAGUUGAGCGCUGAAGGUUGGUACUUGUACCAACUGGAUGAGCAGCGAACGGGUGAGUAACGCGUGGGGAAUCUGCCUUUGAGCGGGGGACAACAUUUGGAAACGAAUGCUAAUACCGCAUAAAAACUUUAAACACAAGUUUUAAGUUUGAAAGAUGCAAUUGCAUCACUCAAAGAUGAUCCCGCGUUGUAUUAGCUAGUUGGUGAGGUAAAGGCUCACCAAGGCGAUGAUACAUAGCCGACCUGAGAGGGUGAUCGGCCACAUUGGGACUGAGACACGGCCCAAACUCCUACGGGAGGCAGCAGUAGGGAAUCUUCGGCAAUGGACGAAAGUCUGACCGAGAACGCCGCGUGAGUGAAGAAGGUUUUCGGAUCGUAAAACUCUGUUGGUAGAGAAGAACGUUGGUGAGAGUGGAAAGCUCAUCAAGUGACGGUAACUACCCAGAAAGGGACGGCUAACUACGUG
rnacentral:rRNA from 1 species